UGUCGAUGGCUUCGAAGUUUCUUCUUCUUCUUCGGUUGAAGAGUUCAGUUUUACAGCCACAUCUUCUGACAAAGACGACAAACUAAAGAUACCGAAAGAGAUUCUUUUGGAAAUUCUAGGCCCGUCGAAAGUGUACCACCAAGUUAUUAAGAAAGUGAUAAACAUUGCAAUUGCUAAAUAUGUAGCUAAGGAAGGUUUGAAAGUUGGUAAAGAAUUACAAAUC